UACGAAGGGGCUAGCGUUGUUCGGAAUUACUGGGCGUAAAGCGCACGUAGGCGGAUCGAUCAGUCAGGGGUGAAAUCCCAGAGCUCAACUCUGGAACUGCCUUUGAUACUGUCGAUCUGGAGUAUGGAAGAGGUGAGUGGGAAUUCCGAGUGUAGAGGUGAAAUUCGUAGUAUUCGGAGGAACACCAUGGCGAAGGCGGCUCACUGGUCCAUUACUGACGCUUGAGGUGCGAAAAGCGUGGGG
rnacentral:rRNA from 1 species